UACAGGGGGGGCAAGCGUUGUUCGGAAUUACUGGGCGUAAAGGGCUCGUAGGUGGCCAACUAAGUCAGACGUGAAAUCCCUCGGCUUAACCGGGGAACUGCGUCUGAUACUGGAUGGCUUGAGAUUGGGAGAGGGAUGCGGAAUUCCAGGUGUAGCGGUGAAAUGCGUAGAUAUCUGGAGGAACACCGGUGGCGAAGGCGGCAUCCUGGACCAACACUGACACUGAGGAGCGAAAGCCAGGGGAGCAAACGGG
rnacentral:rRNA from 1 species